CCUACGGGAGGCAGCAGUGAGGAAUAUUGGUCAAUGGACGAGAGUCUGAACCAGCCAAGUAGCGUGAAGGAUGACUGCCCUAUGGGUUGUAAACUUCUUUUAUAUGGGACUAAAAUGUUCCACGUGUGGGAUUUUGUAUGUACCAUAUGAAUAAGGAUCGGCUAACUCCGUGCCAGCAGCCGCGGUAAUACGGAGGAUCCGAGCGUUAUCCGGAUUUAUUGGGUUUAAAGGGAUCGUAGGUGGAUUGUUAAGUCAGUUGUGAAAGUUUGCGGCUCAACCGUAAAAUUGCAGUUGAAACUGGCAGUCGUGAGUACAGUAGAGGUGUGCGGAAUUCGUGGUGUAGCGGUGAAAUGCUUAGAUAUCACGAAGAACGCCGAUUGCGAAGGCAGCUCACUGGACUGCAACUGACACUGAGGCUCGAAAGUGUGGGUAUCAAACAGGAGUAGAUACCCCUGUAGUC
rnacentral:rRNA from 1 species